GGGGAUUUAGCUUAGUGGUAGAGCGCUUGCCUAGCAAGCACAAGGUCCUGGGUUCGGUCCCCAGCUCCG
rnacentral:tRNA from 1 species